GCCUAUAGCUCAGUUGGUUAGAGCAGCGGACUCAUAAUCCGUUGGUCGACAGUUCAAGUCUGUCUGGGCC
rnacentral:tRNA from 6 species